GUCUCAGAUUAGCCAUGCAUGUCUAAGUAUAAAUGGAUUAUACAGUGAAACUGCGAAUGGCUCAUUAAAUCAGUUAUAGUUUAUUUGAUAAUACCUUUUACUUGGAUAACCGUAAUAAUUUUAGAGCUAAUACAUGCGUGAAAGUGCGACUUUUGUGGAAGCACUGUAUUUAUUAGAUACAAAACCAAUCGAGCUUGCUCGUUACCUUGGUGAUUCAUAAUAACUAAACGAAUCGUAUGACUUUAUGUCGACGAUGAUUCAUUCAAAUUUCUGCCCUAUCAACUUUCGAUGGUAAGGUAUUGGCUUACCAUGGUUACAACGGGUGACGGAGAAUUAGGGUUCGAUUCCGGAGAGGGAGCCUGAGAAACGGCUACCACUUCUACGGAGGGCAGCAGGCGCGCAAAUUACCCAAUCCUGACUCAGGGAGGUAGUGACGAAUAAUAACGAUACGUGACUUCGGUCUAGUAAUCGGAAUGAGUACAAUUUAAACCCCUUAAUGAAUUCCAUUGGAGGGCAAGUCUGGUGCCAGCAGCCGCGGUAAUUCCAGCUCCAAUAGCGUAUAUUAAAGUUGUUGCAGUUAAAAAGCUCGUAGUUGGAUGUUGGGUUCUAGUUAUGUUCGGUCUCUUCUAGAGUACUGUCAUGCUGGCCCUUUUUCUCGAGGCCUAUAGGUGCACUUAACCGUGUGUUUAUAGUGUUCGGGACUUUUACCGUGAGAAAAUUAGAGUGUUCAUAGCAGGCUAGUGCUUGAAUAUUACAGCAUGGAAUAAUGGAAUAGGAUCAUGAUCUUAUUUUGUUGGUUUCUAAGAUUAAGAUAAUGAUUAAUAGGGAUAGUUGGGGGCAUUAAUAUUUAGUUGUCAGAGGUGAAAUUCUUAGAUUUACAAAAGAUUAACUUCUGCGAAAGCAUUUGCCAAGGAUGUUUUCGUUAAUCAAGAACGAAAGUUGAGGGAUCGAAGAUGAUCAGAUACCGUCGUAGUCUUAACCAUAAACUAUGCCGACUAGGAUUGGUGGUCGUA
rnacentral:rRNA from 1 species